rnacentral:rRNA from 1 species
UGGGGAAUAUUGCACAAUGGGCGGAAGCCUGAUGCAGCGACGCCGCGUGAGGGAUGACGGCCUUCGGGUUGUAAACCUCUUUCAGCAGGGACGAAGCGCAAGUGACGGUACCUGCAGAAGAAGCGCCGGCCAACUACGUGCCAGCAGCCGCGGUAAGACGUAGGGCGCGAGCGUUGUCCGGAUUUAUUGGGCGUAAAGAGCUCGUAGGCGGCUUGUCGCGUCGACCGUGAAAACUCGCAGCUCAACUGCGAGCCUGCGGUCGAUACGGGCAGGCUAGAGUUCGGUAGGGGAGACUGGAAUUCCUGGUGUAGCGGUGAAAUGCGCAGAUAUCAGGAGGAACACCGAUGGCGAAGGCAGGUCUCUGGGCCGAUACUGACGCUGAGGAGCGAAAGCGUGGGGAGCGAACA